AUGGCGAAGAAGGGCGAGAGAGCAGAGCAGGUGGCGGCGGUGCGCGCGGUGCUCGGCGAGGAGACGCCGGAGAUGGACAUCAUCCGCGCGCUCCACAUGGCCGGCGACGACCCCACCAAGACCAUCAACAUCCUCCUCGACCUCCACCACAACCUGCCGCCGCCGCCGUCGCCGUCGCCGUCGCCCCCGCCCCAGCCCCCGCCGGUCCAACCCACCAAACCCCCUAGCAAAUCGAUCCCGCCGCCCAAAACCCCUGCGCAGCCGAAGCCGCCGGCGGCGGCGACUGGGAAACCUAGGCCCAAGUCCAAACCCCCACCCACCGGCGGGGGCGAGCACUGGUGGCUGGUGGGGAGCGCCGAGAUGGCCGGCCUGUCCACCUGCAAGGGCAGGCGCAUCGCCGCCGGGGAACCGGUUACCUUCUCGUUCCCCAACUCCGCGACCGCAGCCGCCUCGGGCAAGGGCCGUCCUGGUCGCUUUGCCCUCGCUUCCUGCACCUCGGAGAUUAUGCGCUUCUCAACCCCGACCCACGGGGAGGUCGGCCGCAUCCCCAACGAGUGGGCUCGGUGUCUGCUACCCCUUCUCAAGGAGGGGAAGGUCAAAGUGGAGGCCCUGUGCAAAUCCGCUCCUGAGGUUCUUAGCAUCAUGGACACCGUCCUCUUGUCUGCUAGUAUAUACAUCAACAGCUCCAUGUUCCGUGAUCAAAAGCAGUCACUGCCCAAGGCAACGCGUGCUGCUACGGAGGACUCCACAUUCCAUCCACUCCCCGCACUUUUCAAAGUCAUCGGGAUUACCCCUUUUAUGAAGGCUGCAUUUACUCCAGAAGAUCUCUAUUCCAGAAAGCGACCAAUUGAAAGAAAGAGCAGUAACGGGGAGCCAGCCACAAAGUUGACAUCUGAGAAAGUGAAAUUAUCUUCCAGCGGAAAUGAAGAUGAUCAUGCUGAAGGAACUGUUUCAGAUUCAGAUUUGGAUGUUAUAAUUGGAAUCUCAGACAGUUCUGCACUGGAGGAGAGGGAUCCGCCUGAGGCUCUGCAGUGCGAUCUGCGCCCUUAUCAGAAGCAGGCCCUUCAUUGGAUGCUGCAGCUUGAGAAAGGCAGUUGCUCCCAGGAUGCAGCUACAACCCUUCACCCUUGUUGGGAGGCAUAUAAGCUUGAAGACAAGAGGGAAUUUGUUUUGUACUUGAAUGUAUUUUCAGGAGAUGCCACCACUGAAUUUCCUAGUACAUUACAGCUUGCUAGAGGAGGGAUUCUGGCAGAUGCGAUGGGACUAGGGAAAACUAUUAUGACGAUAGGUCUUCUUCUCUCUGAUUCUAGCAAAGGAUGCGUCACAACUCAGCAUAGUACUCAGAUCUCUGGAGAAGCUAGUGGGCUGGGUGAAACUCCUAUUCAGUCCCUUGAUUCCGUGAAGAAUCUAGCUAGCCCUUUUUCUUUUAGCAAGCUCAGGAAACCUAAGGCCCCACUGAUUGGAGGUGGAAAUCUAGUUAUCUGCCCGAUGACACUACUGAGUCAGUGGAAGGCAGAGAUUGAAGCUCAUACAAAACCGAAUUCUUUGAAUAUAUAUGUUCAUUAUGGCCAAAGCAGACCAAAGGAAGCAAGCUUUAUUGGUCAGAAUGAUAUUGUCCUGACCACCUAUGGUGUCGUGGCAUCAGAAUUUUCAACCGAGAGUUUUACAGAAAAUGGUGGCCUCUACUCUGUUCACUGGUUUAGAAUUGUGCUUGAUGAGGCGCACAUGAUAAAGUCAUCUAAAAGUUUAAUAUCCCAAGCUGCUGCUGCUCUUACUGCUGAUCGGCGAUGGUGUCUUACUGGUACACCAAUUCAGAACAACUUGGAGGAUCUAUACAGCCUUUUUAGGUUUCUGAAGGUUGAACCAUGGAGAAACUGGGCCCUGUGGAAUAAACUUGUACAAAAACCAUUUGAAGAAGGUGAUGAAAGAGGCUUAAAGCUAGUGCAGACCAUUUUAAAGCCAGUAAUGUUGAGGAGAACUAAAAAUAGCACAGACAAGGAGGGCAGACCAAUCCUUACUCUACCCCCGGCAAAUAUUGAAGUGAAAUAUUGUGAUCUAUCAGAGUCUGAGAAGGACUUCUAUGAAGCUCUGUUUCGACGAUCUAAGGUGAAAUUUGAUCAGUUUGUGGAGCAAGGGAAGGUCCUGCACAAUUAUGCUUCAAUUUUGGAGUUGCUAUUGCGCCUUAGGCAAUGUUGUGACCAUCCAUUUCUUGUUAUGAGUCGUGGAGAUACACAGGAGUUUGCAGACCUCAAUAAGCUUGCAAAGCGUUUCCUGCAUGGUGGUAAUAGUAAUGUUAAUGGGGAUUCUUCUUCCCUUCCCUCUAAGGCUUACAUUGAAGAGGUUGUCCAAGAGCUGCGGAAAGGUGAGGGGGAAUGCCCUAUUUGUCUGGAAGCCUUUGAGGAUGCUGUGUUAACUCCCUGUGCUCAUCGAUUAUGCCGAGAGUGUAUUUUAUCUAGUUGGCAGAGUCCAGCAGCAGGUCUUUGUCCUGUUUGUAGAAAGUCGAUGACCAAGCAAGAUCUUAUUACUGCUCCAACUAACAGUCGCUUCCAAAUUGAUGUUGAGAAGAACUGGGUUGAAUCUUCGAAGAUAUCUUUUCUUCUAGAGGAAUUAGAAUCUCUUCGCAGUUCAGGCGCCAAGAGUAUCGUGUUUAGUCAGUGGACCGCAUUUCUAGAUCUCCUGGAAAUUCCACUUUCCAGGCAUGGCAUCUCAUUUACCAGACUGGAUGGGACCUUAAAUCUUCAGCAGAGAGAGAAAGUGAUCCGUGAGUUUUCUGAGGACAAACGGAUUCUGGUUUUACUUAUGUCUCUGAAGGCUGGUGGUGUUGGAAUAAACCUCACCGCUGCCUCUAACGCGUUUGUCAUGGACCCUUGGUGGAAUCCUGCUGUUGAAGAACAAGCUGUCAUGCGCAUCCAUCGAAUUGGUCAAACGAAGAGUGUUUCUAUCAAAAGAUUCAUUGUCAAGGGUACUGUUGAGGAAAGAAUGGAAGCUGUACAGGCUCGUAAGCAGCGAAUGAUUUCCGGAGCAUUGACGGACCAAGAAUUCCGCACAGCACGUCUAGAAGAACUGAAGAUGCUCUUCUCUUGA
rnacentral:rRNA from 1 species